GACGAACGCUGGCGGCGUGCUUAACACAUGCAAGUCGAACGGAAAGGCCCUGCUUUUGUGGGGUGCUCGAGUGGCGAACGGGUGAGUAACACGUGAGUAACCUGCCAUUGACUUUGGGAUAACUUCAGGAAACUGGGGCUAAUACCGGAUAGGAGCUCCUGCUGCAUGGUGGGGGUUGGAAAGUUUCGGCGGUUGGGGAUGGACUGGCGGCUUAUCAGCUUGUUGGUGGGGUAGUGGCUUACCAAGGCUUUGACGGGUAGCCGGCCUGAGAUGGUGACCUGCCACAUCGGGACUGAGAUGCGGCCCAGACUCCUACGGGAGGCAGCAGUGGGGAAUAUUGCACAAUGGGCUGAAGCCUGAUGCAGCAACGCCGCGUGCGGGAUGACGUCCUUCGGGUUGGAAACCGCUUUCGCCUGUGACGAAGCGUGAGUGACGGUAAUGGGUAAAGAAGCACCGGCUAACUACGUG
rnacentral:rRNA from 1 species